rnacentral:rRNA from 1 species
AGCGUACACGGUGGAUGCCCUGGCAGUCAGAGGCGAUGAAGGACGUGCUAAUCUGCGAAAAGCGCCGGUAAGGUGAUAUGAACCGUUAUAACCGGCGAUGUCCGAAUGGGGAAACCCGGUGCACUUCGGUGCAUCAUCGUAACAUGAAUACAUAGUGUUACGAGGCGAACCGGGGGAACUGAAACAUCUAAGUACCCCGAGGAAAAGAAAUCAACCGAGAUUCCCCCAGUAGCGGCGAGCGAACGGGGAGGAGCCCAGAGUCUGAAUCAGCAUGUGUGUUAGUGGAAGCGUCUGGAAAGUCGCGCGAUACAGGGUGAAAGCCCCGUACACAAAAAUGCACAGGCUGUGAACUCGAAGAGUAGGGCGGGACACGUGGUAUCCUGUCUGAAUAUGGGGGGACCAUCCUCCAAGGCUAAAUACUCCUGACUGACCGAUAGUGAACCAGUACCGUGAGGGAAAGGCGAAAAGAACCCCGGCGAGGGGAGUGAAACAGAACCUGAAACCGUGUACGUACAAGCAGUGGGAGCCCCACCACCAAAGCGUUUCGCUUUGCGUGGUGCGCAAAAUGCGUAACGACAGCGUGAUGGACGGUUAACGGAGCGUAAGCGACGUUCAACACAAAAAUCAGGCAGUGGAGCGUUUUGGGGUGGGGUGACUGCGUACCUUUUGUAUAAUGGGUCAGCGACUUAUAUUCUGUAGCAAGGUUAACCGCAUAGGGGAGCCGAAGGGAAACCGAGUCUUAACCGGGCGUUAAGUUGCAGGGUAUAGACCCGAAACCCGGUGAUCUAGCCAUGGGCAGGUUGAAGGUUGGGUAACACUAACUGGAGGACCGAACCGACUAAUGUUGAAAAAUUAGCGGAUGACCUGUGGCUGGGGGUGAAAGGCCAAUCAAACCGGGAGAUAGCUGGUUCUCCCCGAAAGCUAUUUAGGUAGCGCCUCGUGAAUUCAUCUCCGGGGGUAGAGCACUGUUUCGGCCAGGGGGUCAUCCCGACUUACCAACCCGAUGCAAACUGCGAAUACCGGAGAAUGUUAUCACGGGAGACACACGGCGGGUGCUAACGUCCGUCGUGAAGAGGGAAACAACCCAGACCGCCAGCUAAGGUCCCAAAGUCAUGGUUAAGUGGGAAACGAUGUGGGAAGGCCCAGACAGCCAGGAUGUUGGCUUAGAAGCAGCCAUCAUUUAAAGAAAGCGUAAUAGCUCACUGGUCGAGUCGGCCUGCGCGGAAGAUGUAACGGGGCUAAACCAUGCACCGAAGCUGCGGCAGCGACNGUUGUUGGGUAGGGGAGCGUUCUGUAAGCCGUUGAAGGUGGUCUGUGAGGACUGCUGGAGGUAUCAGAAGUGCGAAUGCUGACAUAAGUAACGAUAAAGCGGGUGAAAAGCCCGCUCGCCGGAAGACCAAGGGUUCCUGUCCAACGUUAAUCGGGGCAGGGUGAGUCGACCCCUAAGGCGAGGCCGAAAGGCGUAGUCGAUGGGAAACAGGUUAAUAUUCCUGUACUUGGUGUUACUGCGAAGGGGGGACGGAGAAGGCUAUGUCAUCCGGGCGACGGUUGUCCCGGUUUAAGCGUGCAGGUGUGUGCUCCAGGCAAAUCCGGAGCGCUUUAACACUGAGGCGUGAUGACGAGGCACUACGGUGCUGAAGUGACAGAUGCCCUGCUUCCAGGAAAAGCCUCUAAGCUCCAGGUAACACGAAAUCGUACCCCAAACCGACACAGGUGGUCAGGUAGAGAAUACCAAGGCGCUUGAGAGAACUCGGGUGAAGGAACUAGGCAAAAUGGUGCCGUAACUUCGGGAGAAGGCACGCUGGUGCGUAGGUGAAGUCCCUUGCGGAUGGAGCUGAGACCAGUCGAAGAUACCAGCUGGCUGCAACUGUUUAUUAAAAACACAGCACUGUGCAAACACGAAAGUGGACGUAUACGGUGUGACGCCUGCCCGGUGCCGGAAGGUUAAUUGAUGGGGUCAGCCGUAAGGCGAAGCUCCUGAUCGAAGCCCCGGUAAACGGCGGCCGUAACUAUAACGGUCCUAAGGUAGCGAAAUUCCUUGUCGGGUAAGUUCCGACCUGCACGAAUGGCGUAAUGAUGGCCAGGCUGUCUCCACCCGAGACUCAGUGAAAUUGAACUCGCUGUGAAGAUGCAGUGUACCCGCGGCAAGACGGAAAGACCCCGUGAACCUUUACUAUAGCUUGACACUGAACAUUGAGCCUUGAUGUGUAGGAUAGGUGGGAGGCUUUGAAGCGUGGACGCCAGUCUGCGUGGAGCCGACCUUGAAAUACCACCCUUUAAUGUUUGAUGUUCUAACGUGGACCCGUGAUCCGGGUUGCGGACAGUGUCUGGUGGGUAGUUUGACUGGGGCGGUCUCCUCCUAAAGAGUAACGGAGGAGCACGAAGGUUGGCUAAUCCUGGUCGGACAUCAGGAGGUUAGUGCAAUGGCAUAAGCCAGCUUGACUGCGAGCGUGACGGCGCGAGCAGGUGCGAAAGCAGGUCAUAGUGAUCCGGUGGUUCUGAAUGGAAGGGCCAUCGCUCAACGGAUAAAAGGUACUCCGGGGAUAACAGGCUGAUACCGCCCAAGAGUUCAUAUCGACGGCGGUGUUUGGCACCUCGAUGUCGGCUCAUCACAUCCUGGGGCUGAAGUAGGUCCCAAGGGUAUGGCUGUUCGCCAUUUAAAGUGGUACGCGAGCUGGGUUUAGAACGUCGUGAGACAGUUCGGUCCCUAUCUGCCGUGGGCGCUGGAGAAUUGAGGGGGGCUGCUCCUAGUACGAGAGGACCGGAGUGGACGCAUCACUGGUGUUCGGGUUGUCAUGCCAAUGGCACUGCCCGGUAGCUAAAUGCGGAAGAGAUAAGUGCUGAAAGCAUCUAAGCACGAAACUUGCCCCGAGAUGAGUUCUCCCUGACUCCUUGA